UUGACGGGGACCCGCACAAGCGGUGGAGCAUGUGGUUUAAUUCGAAGCAACGCGAAGAACCUUACCAACUCUUGACAUCCCAUUGACCGCUUGAGAGAUCAAGUUUUCCCUUCGGGGACAAUGGUGACAGGUGGUGCAUGGUUGUCGUCAGCUCGUGUCGUGAGAUGUUGGGCUAAGUCCCGCAACGAGCGCAACCCCUAUCCUUAGUUGCCAGCAUUCAGUUGGGCACUCUAGGGAGACUGCCGGUGACAAACCGGAGGAAGGUGGGGAUGACGUCAAAUCAUCAUGCCCCUUAUGAGUUGGGCUACACACGUGCUACAAUGGACGGUACAAAGGGCAGCGAGACCGCGAGGUGGGGCCAAUCCCAUAAAGCCGUUCCCAGUUCGGAUUGCAGGCUGCAACUCGCCUGCAUGAAGUCGGAAUCGCUAGUAAUCGCAGGUCAGCAUACUGCGGUGAAUACGUUCCCGGGUCUUGUACACACCGCCCGUCACACCACGAGAGUUUGCAACACCCGAAGCCGGUGAGUAACCGNCAAGGAGCCAGCCGUCGAAGU
rnacentral:rRNA from 1 species